GGUUGAUAUUGCAGCAACACGUAUUCAUUUUAGUUUUGUGCGCUUCACUGUCCACUCCUCUUGACGCACCAAUUCAGCGCAUUUUCCAGCAGAGAUCGUUGUGAGAUCGCAGGUCGGGAGAAUAACAGUUCGAGUGCAUUUCUCGUUGAUUGCUGUUUUAUCGUGUCUGUUCGGAUACUUGAGCAUAACUCACGCUAUUCAAAGACGAACCACAGUGGACGGUUUCUGACCGGCGAGGCUGGCGGUCGUGCCGUCCCGUCGAGGAUGUUCUUCUGAUAAAGCCUGCCCUGGAGGAGACAAAUGCUAUCGAUUUGAUUUGGGGCCUGUUUGCGUGCCGCCUGUUUUCAUGAAGCCGGGUCAAUGUCCCAUACCGGAGAUGAUUCCACUGUGUGCUAAAAGCUGUUUCCAUGAUGGCCAGUGUUAAA